CGACGUGGGUAACCUGCCUUAUAGUGGGGGAUAGCCUUUCGAAAGGAAGAUUAAUACCGCAUAAGAUUGUAGUAUCGCAUGAUAUAGCAAUUAAAGGAGCAAUUCGCUAUAAGAUGGACCCGCGUCGCAUUAGCUAGUUGGUGAGGUAAUGGCUCACCAAGGCGACGAUGCGUAGCCGACCUGAGAGGGUGAUCGGCCACAUUGGGACUGAGACACGGCCCAGACUCCUACGGGAGGCAGCAUG
rnacentral:rRNA from 1 species